GUCUUCGUGGUGUAAUGGUCAGCGCGCUCGGCGCGUAUUCGAGAGGUCCGUGGUUCGAGUCCCGGCGAGGGCA
rnacentral:tRNA from 1 species